rnacentral:rRNA from 1 species
CCUACGGGUGGCAGCAGUGGGGAAUAUUGCACAAUGGGCGCAAGCCUGAUGCAGCCAUGCCGCGUGUGUGAAGAAGGCCUUCGGGUUGUAAAGCACUUUCAGCGGGGAGGAAGGCGUUAAGGUUAAUAACCUUGGCGAUUGACGUUACCCGCAGAAGAAGCACCGGCUAACUCCGUGCCAGCAGCCGCGGUAAUACGGAGGGUGCAAGCGUUAAUCGGAAUUACUGGGCGUAAAGCGCACGCAGGCGGUCUGUCAAGUGCGGAUGUGAAAUCCCCGGGCUCAACCUGGGAACUGCAUUCGAAACUGGCAGGCUAGAGUCUUGUAGAGGGGGGUAGAAGUCCAGGUGUAGCGGUGAAAGGCGUAGAGAUCUGGAGGAAUACCGGUGGCGAAGGCGGCCCCCUGGACAAAGACUGACGCUCAGGUGCGAAAGCGUGGGGAGCAAACAGGAUUAGAUACCCUAGUAGUC